CGCCAUCUUGCUGCCGGGCAGAAGCAGCGCAAAGACGGAACUGCUUCGAGACCAACGACAAGAAAAUUCGCCAGAUCAAUUCCAAGGACCAGGCUUGAGAAUCCCGUGACGUGAGGAGCGAACGCACGCUGGAUUUAAAGGGUCUGAUAUCCAACAUGGGUCUUUCUUCGACCAAUCACUCCAUUAGAUAAGAGAAGAGAGACGACUGACCUGUGCUGUAGAGACCUUUCUUCACGCCGAACGGCUGCACAUGCAGGCUGAAGGUGUAGAUGGAGAGCAGGUCCGUGAUGGUGAAGUUCUGCUCCUUGUUGCACAUGUAGGAGCUUCCCACCGCCGCCUCCCACAGACUCAGGUUGGUGCUGCUCUGAGCAAAAACGCCUGCAGGGCGACACAGGAAACUCAGCACCACACCUGGAAAACUGCAGGUUGUUUCCGAGCGGAUUAUAAAUACCAGAGCUGGUGUUGAUGGUGACGUUCAAUGCAUGGAGGCGGAAUUUCUUUGUGUCCUGUUAAGAUUGAAAACGAGUUAAACUUCCUCUUCGUUUUA